rnacentral:rRNA from 1 species
UGCAUUGGCUUGUGGCCUAUGCAGUGCCGCAGGGAAGNNNNNNNGUCUGCCGCNNGGGAAGUACGUACGCAAGUAUUGAAACUUAANNGAAUUGGCGGGGGAGCACCACAAGGGGUGAAGCCUGCGGUUCAAUUGGAGUCAACGCCAGAAAUCUUACCUGGGGAGACAGCAGAAUGAAGGUCAAGCUGAAGACUUUACCAGACACGCUGAGAGGUGGUGCAUGGCCGUCGCCAGNNCGNNNNNNNNNAUGUCCUGUUAAGUCAGGUAACGAGCGAGACACCUGCGUCUAGUUGCUACCAUUACUCUCUGGAGCAGUGGAGCGAAUUAGACGGACCGCCACAGUUAAUGUGGAGGAAGGAAGGGGCCACGGCAGGUCAGUAUGCCCCGAAACCCUAGGGCUACACGCGGGCUGCAAUGGUAUUGACAAUGUGUNCCGAAUCCGAAAGGAGGAGGCAAUCAUCAAACAAUAUCUCAGUUA